rnacentral:rRNA from 1 species
CCUACGGGAGGCAGCAGUGAGGAAUAUUGGUCAAUGGGCGCGAGCCUGAACCAGCCAAGUAGCGUGAAGGUUGACUGCCCUACGGGUUGUAAACUUCUUUUAUAAAGGAAUAAAGUGAGGCACGUGGGCCAUUUUGUAUGUACUUUAUGAAUAAGGAUCGGCUAACUCCGUGCCAGCGGCCGCGGUAAUACGGAGGAUCCGAGCGUAAUCCGGAUUUAUGGGGUUUAAGGGGUGGGUAGCUGGGUUGUUAAGUAAGUUGUGAAAGUUUGCGGCUCAAGCGUAAAAUUGCAAUUGAUACUGGCAGUCGUGAGUGCAGUUGCGGUAGGCGGAAUUCGUGGUGUAGCGGUGAAAUGCUUAGAUAUCACGAAGAACUCCGAUUGCGAAGGCAGCUUACUAAACUGCCACUGACAUUGAUGCUCGAAAGUGUGGGUAUCAAACAGGAUUAGAUACCCCUGUAGUC